UACGGAGGGUGCAAGCGUUGUCCGGAAUCACUGGGCGUAAAGGGCGCGUAGGCGGCUCGGCAAGUCGGCGGUGAAAUCCUGCGGCUCAACCGCAGGGCUGCCUUCUAAACUGUCGAGCUCGAGCACGGUAGAGGCAGAUGGAAUUCCCGGUGUAGCGGUGGAAUGCGUAGAGAUCGGGAAGAACAUCAGUGGCGAAGGCGGUCUGCUGGGCCGUUGCUGACGCUGAGGCGCGACAGCGUGGGGAGCAAACAGG
rnacentral:rRNA from 1 species